rnacentral:rRNA from 1 species
CCUACGGGAGGCAGCAGUGAGGAAUAUUGGUCAAUGGGCGCGAGUCUGAACCAGCCAAGUCGCGUGAAGGAUGACUGCCCUAUGGAUUGUAAACUUCUUUUAUAGGGGAGUAAAACGCGCCACGUGUGCCUUUCUGAUAGUACCCUAUGAAUAAGGCUCGGCUAACUCCGUGCCAGCAGCCGCGGUAAUACGGAGGAUUCGAGCGUUAUCCGGAUUUAUUGGGUUUAAAGGGAGCGUAGAUGGGUAGUUAAGUUAGGUGUGAAAUUUUGCGGAUUAACCGUAAAAUUGCGAUUGAUACUGGUAGUAUUGAGUACGCGGGAGGUAUGCGGAAUGCGUGGUGUAGCGGUGAAAUGCUUAGAUAUCACGCAGAACCCCGAUUGCGAAGGCAGCAUACUAAACCGUAACUGACACUGAUGCACGAAAGUGUGGGUAUCGAACAGGAUUAGAUACCCUAGUAGUC